rnacentral:rRNA from 1 species
AGAGUUUGAUCAUGGCUCAGGAUGAACGCUGGCGGCGUGCCUAACACAUGCAAGUCGAGCGGGGUUUACGGAGCAGCUUGCUGCACUGUAACCUAGCGGCGGACGGGUGAGUAACGCGUGGGCAACCUGCCUUACACAGGGGGAUACACUGGGAAACUAGUGCUAAUACCGCAUAACAUCAUUUUAUGGCAUCAUGAGAUGAUCAAAGGAGCAAUCCGGUGUAAGAUGGGCCCGCGUCCGAUUAGCUAGUUGGUGAGGUAACGGCUCACCAAGGCAGCGAUCGGUAGCCGAACUGAGAGGUUGGUCGGCCACAUUGGGACUGAGACACGGCCCAGACUCCUACGGGAGGCAGCAGUGGGGAAUAUUGCGCAAUGGGGGGAACCCUGACGCAGCAACGCCGCGUGAAGGAUGAAGGCCUUCGGGUUGUAAACUUCUUUGAUUGGGGAAGAAAUUUGACGGUACCCAAAGAACAAGCCACGGCUAACUACGUGCCAGCAGCCGCGGUAAUACGUAGGUGGCGAGCGUUGUCCGGAAUUACUGGGUGUAAAGGGCGUGUAGGCGGGGAUGCAAGUCAGAUGUGAAAUUCCGGGGGCUCAACCCCGGGCACUGCAUCCGAAACUGUGUCUCUUGAGUGCUGGAGAGGGAAGUGGAAUUCCUAGUGUAGCGGUGAAAUGCGUUAGAGAUUAGGAGGAACACCCAGUGGCCAAAGGCGACUUUUCUGGACAGUAACUGACGCUUAAGGCCCGAGAAGCCUGGGGGAGCAAAACACGGAUUAAAUACCCCUGG